rnacentral:tRNA from 1 species
GCCUGGCUGGCUCAGUCAGUAGAGCAUGUGAUUCUUGAUCUUCAGGUCAUGAAUUCGAGUUCCAUGUUGGGUG